GACGAACGCGGCGGCGUGCUUAACACAUGCAAGUCGAACGAAGAGCGAUGGAAGCCUGCUUCUAUCAAUCUUAGUGGCGAACGGGUGAGUAACGCGUAAUCAACCUGCCCUUCAGAGGGGGACAACAGUUGGAAACGACUGCUAAUACCGCAUACGAUCUAACCUCGGCAUCGAGGAUAGAUGAAAGGUGGCCUCUACAUGUAAGCUAUCACUGGAGGAGGGGAUUGCGUCUGGUUAGCUAGUUGGAGGGGUAACGGCCCACCAAGGCGAUGAUCAGUAGCCGGUCUGAGAGGAUGAACGGCCACAUUGGGACUGAGACACGGCCCAGACUCCUACGGGAGGCAGCAGUGGGGAAUCUUCCGCAAUGGACGAAAGUCUGACGGAGCAACGCCGCGUGAAUGAUGACGGCCUUCGGGUUGUAAAGCUCUGUUAAUCGGGACGAAAGGCCUUC
rnacentral:rRNA from 1 species